GUGCUUGCUUUGGUAGCACAUGUACUAAAAUUGGAACAAAACAGAAGAUUAGCAUGAUCCCUGCACAAAUAUGACAUGUAAAUUCGUGAAGUGUUCCAUAUUUAA